rnacentral:rRNA from 1 species
UACGGAGGGUGCGAGCGUUGUCCGGAAUUACUGGGCGUAAAGCGCGCGCAGGCGGCUAUCCAAGUCAGUGGUGAAAGCCCGGAGCUCAACUCCGGAACUGCCAUUGAAACUGUUUAGCUUGAGGAUGAGAGAGGUGAGUGGAAUUCCCAGUGUAGAGGUGAAAUUCGUAGAUAUUGGGAAGUACACCGGUGGCGAAGGCGGCUCACUGGCUCAUUACUGACGCUCAGGCGCGAUAGCGUGGGGAUCAAACAGG